GAUGAACGCUGGCGGCGUGUUUAACACAUGCAAGUCGAGGGGCAGCAUGAACUUAGCUUGCUAAGUUUGAUGGCGACCGGCGCACGGGUGAGUAACACGUAUCCAACCUGCCGAUGACUCGGGGAUAGCCUUUCGAAAGAAAGAUUAAUACCCGAUGGCAUAGUUCUUCCGCAUGGUGGAACUAUUAAAGAAUUUCGGUCAUCGAUGGGGAUGCGUUCCAUUAGGUUGUUGGCGGGGUAACGGCCCACCAAGCCUUCGAUGGAUAGGGGUUCUGAGAGGAAGGUCCCCCACAUUGGAACUGAGACACGGUCCAAACUCCUACGGGAGGCAGCAGUGAGGAAUAUUGGUCAAUGGACGAGAGUCUGAACCAGCCAAGUAGCGUGAAGGAUGACUGCCCUAUGGGUUGUAAACUUCUUUUAUACGGGAAUAAAGUGAGGCACGCGUGCCUUUUUGUAUGUACCGUAUGAAUAAGGAUCGGCUAACUCCGUGCCAGCAGCCGCGGUAAUACGGAGGAUCCGAGCGUUAUCCGGAUUUAUUGGGUUUAAAGGGAGCGUAGGCGGACGCUUAAGUCAGUUGUGAAAGUUUGCGGCUCAACCGUAAAAUUGCAGUUGAUACUGGGUGUCUUGAGUACAGUAGAGGCAGGCGGAAUUCGUGGUGUAGCGGUGAAAUGCUUAGAUAUCACGAAGAACUCCGAUUGCGAAGGCAGCUUGCUGGACUGUAACUGACGCUGAUGCUCGAAAGUGUGGGUAUCAAACAGG
rnacentral:rRNA from 1 species